CCUACGGGAGGCUGCAGUGGGGUAUAUUGCACAAUGGGGGAAACCCUGAUGCAGCGACGCCGCGUGAGUGAAGAAGUAAUUCGUUAUGUAAAGCUCUAUCAGCAGGUAAGAAAAUGACGGUACCUGAGUAAGAAGCCCCGGCUAACUACGUGCCAGCAGCCGCGGUAAUACGUAGGGGGCAAGCGUUAUCCGGAUUUACUGGGUGUAAAGGGAGCGUAGACGGCAGUGCAAGUCUGGAGUGAAAGGCGGGGGCUCAACCCCCGGACUGCUCUGGAAACUGUACGGCUGGAGUGCAGGAGAGGUAAGUGGAAUUCCUAGUGUAGCGGUGAAAUGCGUAGAUAUUAGGAGGAACACCAGUGGCGAAGGCAUCUCACGAAUCCGCGAUUGACGCUGAUGCACGAAAGCGUGGGUAUCAAACAGGAUUAGAUACCCCUGUAGUC
rnacentral:rRNA from 1 species